UACGUAUGGUGCAAGCGUUAUCCGGAUUUACUGGGUGUAAAGGGAGCGUAGGCGGCGCGUUAAGUCUGAUGUGAAAACCCGAGGCUCAACCACGGGAGUGCAUUGGAAACUGGCGGGCUGGAGUGCCGGAGAGGUAAGCGGAAUUCCUAGUGUAGCGGUGAAAUGCGUAGAUAUUAGGAGGAAUACCAGUGGCGAAGGCGGCUUACUGGACGGCAACUGACGCUGAGGCUCGAAAGCGUGGGGAGCAAACAGG
rnacentral:rRNA from 1 species